CCUACGGGAGGCAGCAGUGAGGAAUAUUGGUCAAUGGGCGGAAGCCUGAACCAGCCAAGUCGCGUGAGGGAAUAAGGCCCUACGGGUCGUAAACCUCUUUUGCCGGGGAGCAAGGGCGGGGACGUGUCCCGGCCCGGAGAGUACCCGGAGAAAAAGCAUCGGCUAACUCCGUGCCGGCAGCGGCGGUAAAACGGAGGUUGCGAGGGUUAUCCGGAUUUAUUGGGUUUAAAGGGUGCGUAGGCGGGCUUUUAGUUCAGCGUUAAAAAUUUGGGGCUAACCCCCGUCCGGUAGUUGAAACUGGGGGCCUUGAGUGGGCGAGAGGAAGGCGGAAUGCGUGGUGUAGCGGUGAAAUGCAUAGAUAUCACGAAGAACCCCGAUUGCGAAGGCAGCCUUCCGGCGUCUUACUGACGCUGAGGCACGAAAGUGCGGGGAUCGAACAGGAUUAGAUACCCUGGUAGUC
rnacentral:rRNA from 1 species